rnacentral:sRNA from 1 species
CUGCCUUGUGCCCCGGUUGGCCGCAGCGG